rnacentral:rRNA from 1 species
AAUCAACGCUGGCGGCGUGCCUCAGACAUGCAAGUCGAACGAUUAAAGCUCUCUUCGGAGAGUGUAUAGAGUGGCGCACGGGUGAGUAACACGUAAGUAAUCUACCUUUGAGUGGGGAAUAACAGUCGGAACGACUGCUAAUACCGCAUAAUGCAGCGGCAUCGCAAGAUGACAGUUGUUAAAGGAGCAAUCCGCUUAAAGAGGAGCUUGCGGCAGAUUAGCUAGUUGGUAAGGUAAUGGCUUACCAAGGCUACGAUCUGUAUCCGGUCUAAGAGGACGGUCGGACACACUGACACUGAAUAACGGGUCAGACUCCUACGGGAGGCAGCAGUCGGGAAUUUU